CUAACCUAAACAACCCAAUACCCAUAAGCCCAACUAAUACAUCAGCCAACCCAAAAUUCAAACCCCAUUUACAACCAAAACCCAAUAAUACAAUACCCAAACCCAAUUUACAAACCCUAACAACCCAAGCCCACUAUCUAAAAAAUUUCAGCAGCAAACCCUAGCCACCAAAGUCUUCAGCCGCUCUCCCCUCUUCAGCCUCCUCCACUCCUCUGACACCAGCACCACCCCUGGUCACUCCCAUACCGUCUGCCACCGCAUGCUUCUCCUCCACUUCCCUGACACCUCCAUACCCUGCAAAGACAGAAGCAGACCAAACAGAAUAGGACAAAAAAUAAAUAAUAUUUUCCUAGUUUUGUAGUCGGCUAUAAAGCUGAGAAAUAAACAUUUGUAAAGGGGGGAUUGAAAAAAAGAGAAGCAAAUUUAACCAUUUCGGAAUAACAAUAUCAGCACUAGAUUCAAACAACAAAUAGCAUACAUCGAAUACAAAAAGCAGAGGAAAAUACAAAAAAAAAAGGGAAACAAGGAACGAAAAUAUAAAUCGGAAGGUGAUUUUGUUUUUUUUUAUUUUUCUCUAUUAUCUUCUUAAAUCCAUUUUUUUCUUCUUUUCUUC
rnacentral:lncRNA from 1 species